CCCGCACAAGCGGUGGAGCAUGUGGUUUAAUCGAAGCAACGCGAAGAACCUUACCAGGUCUUGACAUCCCGAUGCUAUUUCUAGAGAUAGAAAGUUACUUCGGUACAUCGGUGACAGGUGGUGCAUGGUUGUCGUCAGCUCGUGUCGUGAGAUGUUGGGUUAAGUCCCGCAACGAGCGCAACCCCUAUUGUUAGUUGCCAUCAUUCAGUUGGGCACUCUAGCGAGACUGCCGGUAAUAAACUGGAGGAAGUGGGGAUGACGUCAAAUCAUCAUGCCCCUUAUGACCUGGGCUACACACGUGCUACAAUGGUUGGUACAACGAGUUGCGAGUCGGUGACGGCGAGCUAAUCUCUUAAAGCCAAUCUCAGUUCGGAUUGUAGGCUGCAACUCGCCUACAUGAAGUCGGAAUCGCUAGUAAUCGCGGAUCAGCACGCCCGCGGUCCGAAUACGUUCCGGGCCUU
rnacentral:rRNA from 1 species